rnacentral:misc_RNA from 1 species
AAAAUGCGAUACUUGGUGUGAAUUGCAGAAUCCCGUGAACCAUCGAGUUUUUGAACGCAAGUUGCGCCCGAAGCCAUUCGGCCGAGGGCACGUCUGCCUGGGCGUCACGCAUCGCGUCGCCCCCGACCACGCCUCUCCUAUGGGGACGCGUUUGGUCCGGGGCGGAGACUGGUCUCCCGUGCCCAUGGCGCGGUUGGCCUAAAAAGGAGUCCCCUCCGACGGACGCACGGCUAGUGGUGGUUGUCAAGGCCUUCGUAUCGAGCCGUGCGUCGUGAGCCGCGAGGGAAGCGCUCUCCAAAGACCCCAACGCGUCGUCUCGCGACGAUGCUUCGACCGCGACCCCAGGUCAGGCGGGACUACCCGCUGAGUUUAA